rnacentral:ribozyme from 1 species
AGUCAAACCGUAAGGGCCACAGCAGAAGCACGCACGUUGCUGCCCUGUCAGAUUCUAACAAGUCUGUGAAAUCUGCU